UUCCUUCACACAUGAAAAAUAUGGACUAAGGACGUAGUUACUGAAAUGGUGGCCCAUAUUCCUGUAUUAUCCUCUGCAAUACAGAAACCUAGUGUUUCCACUAUGCUUUAGUUUUAAAAUCUAUAAAGGUAAUUUCUGUCACGUACCUUCUUUUCCAGCUUUCUUCAACCAGUGAUUCAUUGAAACGACAAACUCAGGUUUGUUACUCUGCUGGGAAGUUGCCUGUUUUAAUAAAACAUAACAAAGUGCUCUUUAGCUUUGAUUACUGUGCUCAUACUCCCCACGCUGAUGUUCUUUCUGGCCUGAUGUAACCAGUAACGCUAAAAGGGUCUCAUUUUGUGGCUGAUUAGACCAUAGGUAAGGACUUGUGAAGUUGUUUGCUAUUUUUGAUUGAAGCUUGGAAUCUUCAGCCAAGGGCUGGAACAAAAGAUUUGAGUUUUAAAAGGGUUUAAUAGAAUAUCCAAUUGGGAGUUUCACAGAAACAUUUGCCUCAGUCAGUGGCAAUUGACUUGAGUUUUAGAACCUAUCACAUAUUUCAGUGUUUAAAGGUGCCAAAAAGUGGGGCAUAUUUCCUAUUACUUCCCAUUCACCCUUGUGCUCACUUCUGUAAUUACAGUUUUGAAGGUGGCCAGGAUAUUCUGGUGCGAUUUGGGAGACCCACAUUUUAACAGCAAAUCCUGACUUCAGUAAGAUGGCUUCAAAGAACCCAGAUCAGAAGGCAAAACAGAAUAAAGAGGUGUCUCUUCUGAACCACAAAGGAUCAACAUCAUUUAGCCUCAUUGUGAUAAGACAGACCCCAAAAACAUAGUGGAACUCAGGAAGUCCUGGGAUUCUGAGCUAGGACUUUAUACUGAAGUAUCACUCACACUUGAGAAGGAAGUUCUAUGUAUGCUGGAGAAGCCACAAGCAUUUUGACAGUGGACUGGUAGGGAAACCUUAUCCAACACCAUGAUUUUAAGUGGUAGGUGAUGCAUCAUUAUUUCCCUUACCAUCUUCAGCAGUGGUACAGAAUAUUACAACAUCUGACAGGUGUCUCUUGCUGUCAAGAUCUCUACCUUGCCUGGCAAUUCUAGCACUGGAGAAAGAUCUGUCAGAAUUUACAAGGUAGGAGAUUCUGACACACAAUAAAGUUGAAGCAAUUGCAAUGUUAGUAAUAGGUAGACGGCUCACCUCAAAGAAGGUGCAAAGAUCUGAUCAAUGAAGAAAUUGGCAUGAAAGGGCUUUGCAAAAAUGGGAUUUGUUGUUUAUUUAUAGCACAUAAUGGGCACUGCUAGGCACUUUCCAAAUACUUGAGAAGGAUGGUCCCUGCUCAGAGGAGACCACAAUAUAAAGACGGAUAGACAAGUAAACAGAGGCUAGGAAAAUAAGAACAAUAAGAGGCAAUGGCUAUACAAAUCAACUUGAUUCACUGUAAACAACAUGACAAAAAUGGGUCUUUAAGAGGGACUUAAAUAUGGACUGGGUGGAGGCUCUGUGGAUGAAUUCAGGAAGGUCAUACCUAGAGUUGUGCAAAUAACUGAUAUUAUUUGGUUU